AUGUCAAAACACCUGAAGGAUCAAGACACACAGAACCUCCUCUUUCUGUGGAACAGGCCUGUGACGCGGUCCAGUCCAGAGCUUUCCUGCUCCUCCUCCCCCCUCCCUCCUCGCUCCUCCUCUCUCCUCCUCGCUCCUCCUCGCUCCUCCUCGCUCCUCCUCUCUCCUCCUCUCUCCUCCUCGCUCCUCCUCUCUCCUCCUCUCUCCUCCUCUCCUCCUCCUCUCCUCCUCGCUCCUCCUCGCUCCUCCUCUCUCCGCCUCGCUCCUCCUCGCUCCUCCUCGCUCCGCCUCUCUCCGCCUCGCUCCUCCUCUCUCCUCCUCGCUCCUCCUGGCUCCUCCUCGCUCCUCCUCUCUCCGCCUCCUCCUCCGCCUCGCUCCCCUCGCUCCUCCUCGCUCCUCCUCUCUCCUCCUCGCUCCUCCUCUCUCCUCCUCGCUCCUCCUCGCUCCUCCUCGCUCCUCCUCGCUCCUCCUGGCUCCUCCUCUCCUCCUCGCUCCUCCUCUCUCCUCCUCGCUCCUCCUCGCUCCUCCUCUCUCCUCCUCGCUCCUCCUCUCUCCUCCUCGCUCCUCCUCGCUCCUCCUCUCUCCUCCUGGCUCCUCCUCGCUCCUCCUCUCUCCGCCUCGCUCCUCCUCGCUCCUCCUCGCUCCGCCUCUCUCCGCCUCGCUCCUCCUCUCUCCUCCUCGCUCCUCCACGCUCCUCCUCGCUCCUCCUCUCUCCUCCUCUCUCCUCCUCGCUCCUCCUCUCUCCUCCUCUCUCCUCCUCGCUCCUCCUGGCUCCUCCUGGCUCCUCCUGGCUCCUCCUCGCUCCUCCUCUCUCCUCCUCGCUCCUCCUGGCUCCUCCUCGCUCCUCCUCGCUCCUCCUCGCUCCGGCAGACACCCCAGAUAACCAGAUAUACGUGGAGGCAGCUGAAGAGGUGCCUGGAGCAUAAUAUGGCCCCUUUAACCUGCGACCCGGUGUGUGUGUGUGUGUGUGUGUGUGUGUGUGUGUGUGUGUGUGUGUGUGUGUGUGUGUGUGUGUGUGUGUGUGUGUGUGAGUGCGUGUGUGUGUGUGAGUGA
rnacentral:lncRNA from 1 species